AACGAACGCUGGCGGCAUGCUUAACACAUGCAAGUCGAACGAGACCGCCGGGCCUAGUGGCGCACGUGUGCGUAACGCGUGGGAACCUGCCCUUAGGAUCGGACUAACUCCCCGAAAGGGGUGCUAAUACCGGAUAAUGUUUUCGGACCAAAGAUUUAUCGCCUUUGGAUGGGCCCGCGUUGGAUUAGGUAGUUGGUAGGGUAAAAGCCUACGAAGGCGACGAGCCAUGGCUUGGCUGAGAGGAUGAUCAGCCACACUGGGACUGAGACACGGCCCAGACGCCUGCGAGAGGCGGCAGUGGGGAAUAUUGGGCAGUGGGCGAGAGCCUGAGCCAGCGCUGCCGCGUGGGUGAUGAAGGGCUUGGGGUUGUAUAGCUCUUUUGCCGGAGAGAAUAUGGCCGGUACCGGAAGAAUAGGCCCCGCCUACCACCGU
rnacentral:rRNA from 1 species